rnacentral:ribozyme from 13 species
AGAGAGGACAAUGAAAAGGGCGGCGAGGAGAAAGAAGAAGAGGGUGAAGUCGAAGAAGCCCACACAUCAACAACAGCAUGUCUUUUUCUUUCUUUUUUUCUUUUUUCUUACCUACUUCUGUAGCCCCAAAGACAAAGAAGAAGAAAAAAGAAUGUCU